CUGCCCUUCAGUGGGGAAUAACACGCCGAAAGGCGUGCUAAUGCCGCAUGUCACAGCGAGGCCUCCGGGUCACGUUGGAAAAGGGGACGCCCGCAAGGGGUUCUCGCUGGAGGAUGAGUCCGCGGCCCAUCAGCUUGUUGGCGGGGUAAUGGCCCACCAAGGCGAAGACGGGUAGCUGGUCUGAGAGGAUGAUCAGCCACACUGGGACUGAGACACGGCCCAG
rnacentral:rRNA from 1 species